AGGAAGAUCAUCUAUCGGGAUCUAAAGCCUGAGAACAUCAUGCUGGACUGCAGAGGUUACGGCAAAGUCUGUGACAUGGGCCUGGCACGUUUCGUGGUGGGCAAGACCAACACCCAGGCUGGAACUCCUGAUUACAUGGCGCCAGAGAUGAUCGAUCCA
rnacentral:ribozyme from 1 species